rnacentral:lncRNA from 1 species
ACCAAAGGGCUCUGGGGCAGGUGUCAGUGCCCCAGGCGGGGAGAGGCUGUGUAAUUAUGGAAGGAUAAUACCCACCCCAGGGACUACUUCAUUUCCCAUCCCUAAGGAACUCUUCACCAAUCAGAAAAGAGAAUUCUUUAACAACAGCUCUCCACCCCCUGGCCAGGAACCACUCAUAGCUUCUCAGAACAUGUUUCUGGGCAGGUGGGAGCAAAGCCAGAAAGGAAAACGAACCCCGGGCAGAACCAGAGACACAAGAGCUCUGUGGCCCUGACCCUGGUAGAUAAUCCACCAGGCUCUCAAGCUAGGACCAUUUCACUGCAAGCCAAGGACCUGGUUUGCUGCAUGUUGUCCUGCCUUGCAGGCUGGCAAGAAGCUGAGCCUCUGGGCUUUGCCCACUGAUAUGGAACUGGCUCUGGGAGAUCACCCCAGCGAUGACAGAUGCACAGGGUGGCCAUCUGGAAGUGCCCCUGUCCUCAGGGAUGCUUCAAACAAAGGUUAAUGUGUCAAGAGGGAUUCAUAAAGUCGGAGACCUCCAUGGGGCUUUGAGAACAUCUCUACAUCUCCAGAUGAGCCACCUAAACUGAUCUGAAAGAACUAUGCUCAUGGAUCUGGAGCUACAAAGUGCC